AAGUCGUAACAAGGUUUCCGUAGGUGAACCUGCGGAAGGAUCAUUAACACGUAUCCACGUAUCCACCCAAAGCGAAUCGUUUUCAUGCUCCCUCUGUAGCAGUGAAGGAAUCGAGUCGACAGCAAAGUACGAGUGGGGUUCGCAAGGGCCUAUUCGCUGUUCACCAACUGAGGUCUCGGCCUCGACGAUUGUAUCACUGUGGAGGCUAAUUUCUUUACUACCCGGUUUCCAACUCUGCAGGGUAGUAAGGAUAACUCUAUUAAAACCUAUCUCACCCCUUUUUGCUAGUUGACUUUUAUAUGUUGUUACUUGCGCUCGUCGCAUGGAGCACACGUUUAUUUAUUUGAACGUUAAAAAUACAACUCUUAGCAAUGGAUAUCUUGGUUCUC
rnacentral:misc_RNA from 1 species